rnacentral:rRNA from 1 species
AUGGCAGCCGCAGCGGCGGGUGAGAACAAGAGGUUAAAUGGGGUGAGAAAGAAGGGGGGUGACAAGUUCGCCGCAGCUAUCAAGCACCCGGUGACGAAGACGUUGUUGUGGCUGGGGACGUACCACUCCCCUGAGGUCGCCGCGUGCGCCUAUGACCUCGCGGCUAGGGAGCUGAAGGGCACAAAGGCAAAGCUCAACUUGCCCUACCCUCCGCCUGUCAAACUGGUAAUGGAGGUGAUUGCUGCACCGAGGCACCGCAGCCACGAACACGACGCACCGCUCUUUCAGGUCGUUACGUUGCCACCGGACCCCAUAGCACCGCCUCCACCGCCGCCCAAGGGAAAAAAAUCUUAUACGACAUGGGUCGUAUGCCCUCUGUCGUGA